rnacentral:rRNA from 1 species
UGAAUACGAGAUGCUACGGCGUCGAAGCAGUCUAUGUCAUACUUCCAAGAAAAGCUUGCACUGUCAUAAACAAAUAAUGCCUGUACCAUAACCGACACAGGUGGGUAGGUAGAGUAUACUAAGGGGCGCGAGAUAACUCUCUCUAAGGAACUCGGCAAAAUGACUCCGUAACUUCGGGAGAAGGAGUGCCUUAUUUAUAAGGUUGCAAUAACAAGAUCCAAGCAACUGUUUACCAAAAACACAGGUCUCCGCUAAGUCGUAAGACGAUGUAUGGGGGCUGACGCCUGCCCAGUGCCAGAAGGUUAAAGAAGUUGGUUAGCAUCCGCGAAGCUGAUAACUGAAGCCCUGGUGAACGGCGGCCGUAACUAUAACGGUCCUAAGGUAGCGAAAUUCCUUGUCGGGUAAGUUCCGACCCGCACGAAAGGCGUAAUGAUUUGGAUACUGUCUCGGAGAGGGGCUCGGUGAAAUAGACUUGUCUGUGAAGAUGCGGACUACCUGCACCAGGACAGAAAGACCCUAUGAAGCUUUACUGUAACCUGAAAUUGAAAUUGGACUUUACUUGCGCAGUAUAGGUGGGAGGCGUUGAGAAUAUUCUUGCGGGAUUAUUGGAGCCAUCAGUGAGAUACCACUCUUGUAAUGUUAGAUUUCUAACUUUGUAUCAUUAUCUGGUCAAAGAACAGUUUCAGGCGGGCAGUUUGACUGGGGCGGUCGCCUCCUAAACGGUAACGGAGGCGCACAAAGGUUUCCUCUGAACGGGUAGAAAUCGUAUCUAGAGUGUAAAGGCAUAAGGAAGCUUGACUGUGAGACCUACAAGUCGAGCAGGGACGAAAGUCGGUCUUAGUGAUCUGACGGUGCUGAGUGGAAAGGCCGUCACUCAACGGAUAAAAGUUACUCUAGGAUAACAGGCUGAUCUCCCCCAAGAGUUCACAUCGACGGGGAGGUUUGGCACCUCGAUGUCGGCUCAUCGCAUCCUGGGGCGGUAGUACGUCCCAAGGGUUGGGCUGUUCGCCCAUGAAAGCGGUACGCGAGCUGGGUUCAGAACGUCGUGAGACAGUUCGGUCCAUAUCCGGUGUAGGCGUUAGAAUAUUGAGAGGAGCCUUCUUUAGUACGAGAGGACCGAGAAGGACAUACCUCUGGUGUACCAGUUGUCGUGCCAACGGUAAACGCUGGGUAGCUAUGUGUGGAGUGGAUAACCGCUGAAAGCAUCUAAGUGGGAAGCCCACCUCAAGAUAAGUAUUCUC